UUGUAGGCUAGACUGCAGGACAGGAGUUGUGGGGAGCACAGGGGUUGUUGUCAGCUUUGCACAGAUCCCUUUCUGCAGGAGCUGGAGGUAAUUCUCAGAAGUUUUGUGUCAAUGUGGCUGCCAGCAUUGGGAGGAUGAGUAAUUUCUGAGAGAAGGACUGCGUAACAAUAUUGACCUCUGCCAAAUGCCCUGGCCAUGUAGCAACACACGGCGCAGUACCCAGCACGCCAUGGCCUUGUUGCACACUCAUUCUGCAUGGCCAUGCCAAGGAGAACCAUGUGUGCCAGGCGGCCUCCGAGAUGGCCGGCCAGCAACGGAGGUCCCCCACGGCUGCCUUUUGCAUGUCAGUGCUAGGACCGGGCCUAUGGGCUGGCCUCCAUCGCACUUGCACCAGAGUAACGAUUGAAUUCAGACCCAAGUAAGCCCACUGACCUCAGCUGCGUUUCUCCAGUUCAUGCUGAUGCAGCCAAGAUUGGGUGUGACCUCUGUGUGAGAUGAAAUAUUACUGGUUGAGUGUUCCUCCCUUGCGUUCAUUCGGAGCCAAAGGCCUAUGAUGGACAGUCCUAUGCUAAUGAGAUAAUACGAUAUACUAUCCAGCCAUCAGAUUGGACUGAGUAUCAUCAUUUCCAGGAAGAUCUGUAGUUGAAAUUGUCCUGGCUGUAUGUGUUGUCCUGAUGUCAACUGGCAAAUGACAAAACCAGCCUGGCAAUGAAGAAGCUCAUAAAGAAACAACGUUCUGCAGCCCCAGCAGACGGCGCGUCCUUCAUUCCUUCAAGAUGCUAGCAAAGACAUUCACUUCAGCAGAGGUCUCCAUAUGGGAAAUACUGGAAGAAUUCAGUCAUUUAGCUAACUUUGUUAGUGGGCAUAAAAUAAGGAAAACAAACUGUCUUUCACCUGUCCUUCAAACCAACAUCUGCUGAGAAGACUUUUUUUUAGAGAUUAAUGCAACGGUGAAUAAGAUAAUUGACUUAAUUGUCUUAAACUGCCCCUCCCUAAAUAGGAGCUCUUGGAGGCACUGUUUCCUCUAGAAAAGAAGAGAGAAAAGCCAAGAAAAGCAAAAGACUUCUGAAGAGACUUCUGUUCUCAGAAUUUAGUUUCCAACAGCGAUACACAGUGAUACUGUAGAGAAUGACACAGAAGUGACAGAAGCAUUAUCAGCAUGUUUUUAGCUAUGAAAACUCCUCAGUUUCAAAACUGAAACACUCAAGGUAAUUCAUAACUGAAGCUGGGAUGCAGUGGAACAAUGUAUUAGGGAACUCAUGAAAGGAUUUCAACAAGUAACAUCUUAUUAUAGCUGUAGAUAGGAAGUAAGGAAGAAAAAUCCAUAUUCCUAACAAGUGGUGUGGUAGGAAAUAGGAACGUUUUUCGCUUAGGGAAGAGUAGGAAAAAAUAGGAAUACAUUUAAUUUCCUAGAAUAUCUGUGCCUGAAAGAAGAAAUUCUAAAAAUAACUGAUUAACAAGACAUUAUUUAACCUAUUAAUUACUAUACAAGCAAAUUAACAAUGAUCAAAUGCUUUAAACAACAACAACAAAAAUAAACAAAUAAACUAACAAAACCAGACCACCUUCAAAAAGGUUCAAAAUGUUCAAAAUGAGACCACCUUCACAUUUUAAGAUCAUAUCAAAAAAGAUUUUUAAAAAGACAUCUGCAAAGUAAACCCAGUUUAAAGCUGAGUCACAGUUUGAAGGACUCCUUCUCCAGGUAAGGACAAGAGAUCAUGCUAUGGAAUACGCAGUGUGCAAAAACACUACAACUGCUAAAACUAUCAAAGGAGCAUCAACAUUUUGGCAUUUAUUUUCAUUAUUUUGAACGCACAAUUUUGCCAAUUACUGUGUUUCGUUUUGUUUUUAAAUAAUAUAUAUUUUUAAACAUGCCAAGUCCACUAAAUUUUAUUUAAAAUCAUACCGACUUACAUAUGUACUGUCACUGCCAUUACAAAGUCCUUGUAUUUAUUUAUUUACAGCAACUCUACUUAUUGACUGAAAUAUCUUCUUUUCUAGAUUAAAGUGCUGUCUGUUCAUUACAUACCACCUGAAUAAGUUUUGAUAUAGGAAGAAAAAAGACAGUCUGGAAAAUGUUCAUUAAUGUUUUGAAGUGGGCCACACAUUCUGAUACUAAGAAUGCCCACAGACGCAUUGUCCAUAAUGUUGCUGCUUUCCAAUGAAGUCAGUUCCCUCUAUACUUGCUGCUUAACUGUUAAAGCCUUUCUGACUGUCUUCUUUCAAGGUCUAUGUUUUGCUGUAAUAUCUACUUGUUUGUUGGGUUUGGGGUUUUGACUUUGGGUUUUGUUGUUGUUCUUGGUUUUUGUUUGUUUGGUUUUGUUUCUGUUUUUGAGCAUCCUCCUUUAUUUUGAUCUCCCUUGGAUCAUUGCCACCCUGAACACUAAUGUUGAUUUCACAUAGUGAAGAGAUGCUCUUUACUAUUAUUAAAGUAUUAAAGAAAGUUUGUAUCACAUUUUGCACAAAUCCUAAUACAUACUACAACACUAGUUAGCUGUUACAAAGGAAUUAAAUAUUUUAAUACAAAGAUGCCUAAGCUUAGAAUUUCAUUGCUACUUUUCUUGUUACUAUAAUUUUUUAUUUUAUUUUUUGAUUAGAUAACUGUUCUGUUUAUAAUAAAGUUCUCUGUGAAAUUCUG